UACAGAGGUCCCGAGCGUUGUUCGGAUUCACUGGGCGUAAAGGGUGCGUAGGUGGUGAGGUAAGUCGGAUGUGAAAUCUCCGGGCUCAACCCGGAAACUGCAUCGGAAACUACCUUGCUUGAGGGUUUGAGGGGGGACUGGAAUUCGUCGGUGUAGCAGUGAAAUGCGUAGAUAUCGAGAGGAACACCAGUGGCGAAGGCGGGUCCCUGGACAACACCUGACAUUGAGGCACGAAAGCUAGGGGAGCAAACAGG
rnacentral:rRNA from 1 species